rnacentral:rRNA from 1 species
ACGAACGCUGGCGGCGUGCCUAAUACAUGCAAGUCGAGCGAAGUUUUUCUGGUGCUUGCACUAGAAAACCUUAGCGGCGAACGGGUGAGUAACACGUAAAGAACCUGCCUCAUAGACUGGGACAACUAUUGGAAACGAUAGCUAAUACCGGAUAACAGCAUUAACUGCAUGGUUGAUGUUUAAAAGUUGGUUUUGCUAACACUAUGAGAUGGCUUUGCGGUGCAUUAGCUAGUUGGUGGGGUAAAGGCCUACCAAGGCGACGAUGCAUAGCCGACCUGAGAGGGUGAUCGGCCACACUGGGACUGAGACACGGCCCAGACUCCUACGGGAGGCAGCAGUAGGGAAUCUUCCGCAAUGGGCGAAAGCCUGACGGAGCAACGCCGCGUGAGUGAAGAAGGAUUUCGGUUCGUAAAGCUCUGUUGUUAGGGAAGAAUGAUUGUGUAGUAACUAUACACAGUAGAGACGGUACCUAACCAGAAAGCCACGGCUAACUACGUG